UCUAUCAGCGGUUUGUUCCUCUCCUCUGC
rnacentral:piRNA from 1 species